UGUGCUUAAUCACAAGUUCCAGAUUUCAAAGGUCUCAGUAGGAAAAUAUCAAGUGGUACAAGUGUUGUAGAGUGAUAAUCUUGCCUCAUGUAGAGAAAUAAGAAUUGUACAGAUUAUGGCUCUGUUCAAUAUUUAAACAGAAAUAUUCAUUUUACAUUUUUAAUGCAUCUAGCUCUGUUAGUACUGAAAUGUCACAUAAAAAAUUAACAGCAAUAUACUCCCUCAUCAAAAGAACCAGGGAGAUAUUUUCCCUGGAUGAAACUGCCAUGCUGUUUUUCCUUCACUGUCAGAGGGGAAACUCUGAAUAAGGAAAUGCAUCACUGAAUUGGGUUUUGGUUAUGUUAUUGUUAAAGUAAGCAUUUGAUUAGAGAGUGAAGAAGAGAUGGUUGUAGAGUGAGAAAUCUGUGAUAGUGCAGCUUUUUAUUUAAAUAUGGCGUUUUAUUUUGAACAUAUGUUGAACAAGCACAUGGAUAAAUCAAAGAGGCUGUUUCCAUUAUAUGCACAUUAUAUUAGUGCAAUCAGUGGGCUGAAUCUCUAGUGGUACAUUACAUGCCUAGGAAUGCUUGCAGGAACUGUGGCCAGCUAGCAUGGCUUGGCCUGUGCCUGUACGAGUGAACUCUUGGCCCUCAGGACUGAGUGCUCAUAUCCAGUCUGCCUAAUGCGAAUGAUCAUGGUGAUGCUCUGUCUCCCAGACUGUGCCUGGAAACUGGGAGGAUGUGAGUUGGCAGAAGCUUGAAGCAUGCAGAGGAACAUGCUAAUGCCUUAACAAUAUUUUACAGUGAAAAUUAUUGAUACUUCUUUUUUGCCCCAAGUUGUAAAAUACAGUGUCCUUGAAAAACACAAACUGCCUGGGGAAGCUGUCUGGACUGACUGUAUAGUUAGUGGAAGAAGUUAGCCAGUACCUCUGAUCAGGUCCAAGGUCAAACUGGGAACUUGAUUUUACAGGAUCUGGGUCAGAAUCAGGAGGUGGGAAGCUGGAUGCAGGUCAUAUUGGCAGCAUAGCUCAGCCAAGAGAGCAAGGGCAAGACCUAAGCUUGAAGGCAUCUCUUGGGCAAAGGAGAAUCUGGCAGGAAUCUGCUCAGUCUUCUCACAGCUCUCUUUCAAGGCUCCACAGCUGCACUGUCAAAACUGGUCCUGAGCCCAAGCAGCCAGGCCCUCUGGAAAGGCAAGAGGCAGUCAGAGCUCUGACAGCUACAUCAUUCUUGUAACUGUACAGCAAACUCAAAUUUCCUCCUCCUACUGCCAUUAUAAUGUAAAUUCCAUAGAUUCCACCAGACAUACCUCUUUCUUUUGGCAAAGGAUAUCCAGAAGUCAGUUUUCUGUAAAUUACAAAAUUUAAAGGGGGAGAGGUAAAGGGAAUAAAGGGAUGGAGGCUCCUCAGUGUUGUAGAAGAGCAGAUGUUAAUAGUGCCUUUAACCUUAGAAAUCUUUUGAUAAUUAAACCUUUUGAUAUUUCUGGUAUCAAUAAAUCUCUAUGUCUCAUAAAGCUUUCCCACGGGUUAGUGAAUGGUAGCAUUACAGUCUUUUCCAAGUCAGAUUGUCCUCCUUUCUCCUGAACUGAGAAAAUUACAUGGGUACCUUCGGCUACUGCCCUAGCUGGAUAGUGGCCUCAGAGACAAAAUGACAGAAAUUUUGCUCAUAAGCAAAAUCAAAAUGGUAAUUGAGCACAAAUAUUGGUUUGUGGAACUGUUAGGAGCACGCUCCAUUCAAAGCUUGAUUUAGAGUUGUGUAGAAGCAGUUUAACACUAUUUUUCAUAUAUCUUGUUCUACUGAAUUGUUUUCAUGGGGUUCUACAGCUGUUCGCUCUUGUUCCAAACUGUAUAUAACAAGUGGAAAUGUUCUUUUGAGUACUCCAUUUCACUACCCUGUUACUUUAUAUAAUUCAGUCUGGUUUGCAUGUUUCCUUAACUGAAAUGUAUCAACUAUUCAUAAAUUUCUGUUUGCAUAUUCUAGAUAAUCAGAAAUAUGCUUACUAUACGUGAAACAAAUAUGCCAUGCCCAAACCUAUCAUCUUUGGCCAAAUACUGGACUCUGAGGUGCAAGACUGAAGCUGUUGACUCAAUGAGUUAUGACUUUCUCAAUGCUGAACAAGUGUUAAAAUUAUAAUAUUACAAAUGAGUGUUUAAUAGUUUUGCAAUGAUUCCAGUAAAAUUCAAGGUUUUGUCCACAAAAUACCUCCAAGGAGGAAUGAAUUACCAGGUUGUGUUACUGUGCAGUGUUGAUGGCGCUAAUUGGAUUGCAGAGCUGGCAUAUUUACCAUAACCUAUAUUAGAACAGAAUGGAGGUAAAUAAAUAAAGACAAUUACAAUAUUGUCAAUUUUGGUGGAGUUUCUAUGCUAGUUACCUACUGAUUACUAAGUGGUUAUACCCAAAUAUAUAUUGCUCAAGAAUGGAAAGAGGACUGUGCUUGGAACAUGUAAACUUCUGCUUGUCUUCAGUAGUUGACUUUCACACAACAUUUUGUCUAAAUUUUUAAGUAAUUUAAAAUUAAUAGAACAAUAGUUUAUGUGACUCAGCUCCACCUUAUAGUUCUUUGUGACAGCAACAACUGAGUAGAGUUUUGGGGAAUUUGCUGUUACCUGAACCCACAGGACUGCUCUUUGUAGACAGCAGUUAUCUAUGUUAGGGCCUUUAUAGUAAUUAAUAAAUAAACCAAUUAUAAGGAUGAGAUUUUCUCGCAAAACUUUGACUCUACUGUUAUAUAAUAGACAAGCAUAAUGGCAUUGUAUGAACUGGUGCCUAUUUAUUCAAUCUCUGCAUUUGCAAUCUUAGUUUUUAAUCUAAAAACAAUUAAGAAAACAAAACAAAACAAACCUUCAACUCCAGCAGAAGCAUGAUGAAGGAUCAGGGUUCAAGUAGGAUUCUGAAGAAAACAACCAACCCAACCAAACAAAACCCCUUUAUAUAAAAAGUUCAUAUAGCAGUUUGUGUAAAGUGUUCAAAGUUACAAAAGAGGCUUGGUCCUAUUUUCCAAUAUUCUUUUUCAGCAUUAGGAACUAAAAACUUGACUGAAGCUCAUUGGAUCUUGAAAGCGUGAAGGUUUGAUUUGUAAACUGGGCUUUAUGUUUUAUUUUCCAGGUAAUACUUACUCUCAGUACAUAAAUCUAAAAUUGUGAUCUUUAAGUGCUCUUCUCAAUUACUUUAUAAAUCCAGAAGUUCCUCAUUGUGUGACAGUUUGAAAUCCUGGAAUCCUAAAAUUAUAUUCAAGGUCUUUCAUAAGGUAUCACCAUCUUUACACUGUUAAGCAACUUGGUCCUUAGUCCAGAGUCUGUCAUCUGAGUAAGUAUAUUCCAAGCAUGUGUACACAGCAGACUGCUUAAGCAGAGGGAAGGUGGCAUGAGCACUGUUCUCCGCUCAGACCUUUACACAAGAGCUAAGCAGAGUAUUCAGCUGGCAAGGAUAAAAGUAAGAAGAGGUAAAGGGGGCAUUUGAAUCUUUUGUUUUGUGUAAUUGAUGCAUGGCUCUUGGCAGCAUGUGAUGUGGCACCUUGGAUCCUGCUUAGAUUUGUAUGAAUGAGAUUAUUCAUUAAAAAAUGCACCUUCAGGUUACAA